GAUAUUGGUCAAAAUAAAAAAAUCACGCUCACGCUCGCAUUGAACUGUAUAUAUGGCUUUACUCUAGUUGUGAAAUUAUGAAACAAUAUAAAAUAAAUAAAAUAUAAGUGAUUUUCUAGGGAAAACAGUAACAAAUUAAUAAUAGCUAAACAAUUUAAACUGAUGUUAAGUGUUUUUGAGGCGUAUGUUUGUGUUGAUUUGUCUAAUACAUAUUAGGGGUCUUCAUCAAAAGUGAUAAACUCUUGAUCAACUUGAUAACGUGAUAAACUUAUCAUUUUGAUAAAUGAACUGUCAAACUUUGUAUGGAAAUCUAUUUAACCAAAGUUUUGUCACUUUAUCAAACAACUUUGGUGGAUAAAUGUAUAAAUGUCAGGAAGAUGCAACCUUUCCAGGUUGCCAGGUAGUCGCUUUUGCUACAUAAAAGCAAAUGAACACAAUGUACGAGGUAAGAAUGAAACGUAACUAGCCAUAUAAGUGAAAUAAUAAACAGUUGUAUGCAAUUAUUAUCCAAGGUGCGUUCAUGAAAAAAGGCAGAUAAACUGAUAAAUUUAAGCAGUUUAUCCCUUUCAUUUAUCACUUUUGUUGAAGACCCCUAGUGUUGUUUACUAAGCAAAUAAAAAACUUUAAUACUAAGUAUCUCUAAAUGUAGAAGGCUCCCGCACCUAAAAGUGCAGGACUCCAGUUUUCCAAUGGUACCACUUUUGAUCUCUAUUCAAAGUGCACCCAAUUUCUCUUUUUUCUUGCACAAUACGUCAAAAAUAUUGUCUGCAUACGCCAAAUCUCAGUAUACCCAGUAAAAAAACUGUGGUGAAAUUUUAGGCAGCAUACAAUUUCUUACAUGCACGGUUGCUUUUCAGCACUAAUGAAAGAAACUUAAGAAAUAGUUGAAAAAAAAUCUAUAAAAUGCAUUAAUUUUU